rnacentral:tRNA from 1 species
GCGGCUGUUGCAUAGUGGUAAUGCCCGAGCCUUCCAAGCUCGAGUCGAGGGUUCGAUUCCCUCCAGCCGCU